UGAGGAAUUUUCCGCAAUGGGCGACAGCCUGACGGAGCAAUGCCGCGUGAAGGAAUAAGGCCUACGGGUUGUAAACUUCUUUUCCUAGAGAAGAAGCCAUGACGGUAUCUAGGGAAUAAGCAUCGGCUAACUCUGUGCCAGCAGCCGCGGUAAGACAGAGGAUGCAAGCGUUAUCCGGAAUGAUUGGGCGUAAAGCGUAUGUAGGUGGCUUAGCAAGUCUACUGUUAAAGCCCAGAGCUUAACUCUGGUUAAGCCGUAGAAACUGCUAAGCUUGAGUACGGUAGAAGCAAAGGGAAUUUCCGGUGGAGCGGUGAAAUGCGUUGAUAUCGGAAAGAACACCAAAGGCGAAGGCACUUUGCUAGGCCGAAACUGACACUAAGAUACGAAAGCUAGGGGAGUGAAUGGGAUUAGAUACCCCAGUAGUCCUAGCCGUAAACGAUGGAUACUAAGCGUUGUGGGUUGUCUUAUUGACCUACAGUGCUGUCGCUAACGCAUUAAGUUCCCGCCUGG
rnacentral:rRNA from 1 species